CACCGCGGUUAUACGAGGGGCCCAAGUCAAUAGAUCUCGGCGUAAAGAGUGGUUAAGAUCACAAAAAACUAGAGCCCUACACCCCCAAGGCUGUUAUACGCACCCGUGGAGUGGAUGAUCUACCACGAAAGUGGCUCUAAUAUAUCUGAACCCACGAAAGCUAUAGAA
rnacentral:rRNA from 2 species